AGAAAAGAUAUUCAACGCAGGAGUAACAGAAGUAUAUUAUCCAUAAUCGGUUACUGGGUAAGGAGAUAACAUGAUCCGACAGGGAAUACAUCCGUUACCGGUUAGGGUAAACAUAUCAAAGAUGACUCACUGAGGGCAAAAGAAGGUGUAUUCAUUACCAGCUACUAGGUAAGAAUAACCUGUCGGGGAAGAGCCCAAAU
rnacentral:lncRNA from 1 species